rnacentral:lncRNA from 1 species
UAGGCCCAACCUAACAAUCAUGUUUAGUUGAUUACCAUUAAUUGUUUAUUUUCUACCAUAGUCAAUUCUCUAAUCCUUACCUUACAUUCAAAACCGACUAAAAAAUAAGGUAAAACUCAAAUUAUUUACUAAAUUCCUUCCUUUAAUUCUACGUCUUGUUUCCGACCUUGAUUCAUAAAUAAAAAAAAUUUAAACACCAAACAUACAAAUUUAUUAUCAUCUUGUCUCUAUUUCCUUUUAUAACACACUUCUCAUUCUAAGAAUUAUUUUUCUGGUUAUUUAAGGCUGCAUCUAACACUGUUAGACUGCCUACGUACCCUGGAGUGGGAUCAAGCCUUUUGUAGUUCACGAAUUCCAAAAUUAAACAAAAUCUGAAUAUAUGCAGUUAAUCCAACAUAUACCAAAAUCGUAUUAAUAUUCAAA